CCAAAAACGGACCAUCCUCCUUUUUAGAAAAAUUAUCUACUAAACUUGAUAGGCAUAAUUGUUACUAGGUUAAAAGAUCAUGGAAACUAAAGUAAACCCAGUCUAAAGUUUUAAAAAAUAUAUCAAUAUAUAUUUAGUAUUUCUAGGGUAUUAAGGUUAAUAUGGUGCCAGCAACCGCGGUCAGACCUUAUUAAUAAAUAAUUUAUAAUAAUCUAUUUAUAUAAUAAUAUGUGCUUAUAUAGUGUAUAGUAAAAUGUUACUAUAUCCAAAAAGUUAAGUGUAUUUUUCUUAUAUCAAAAUAAGGUAAAAAACUAGGAUUAGAUACCCUAUUAUUCUUAAUGAAAAGAUCAUAGAUUGAGGAGUAAAAUUAUUAUAAACUCAAAAGUCAUGGCGGCUGUUAUAAUUUAUCAGGGGAGCUUACCAAAUAAUUGAUAACCACCAAGAUACUCUUCUUAAGUUAAAAAGUUUGUAUGCCGUCGUCUUAAAUUUUUCAGAGAAAAAUUUUUAUACUUAAGAGAGGUAAGAAGACAGAUCAAGGUGCAGCUAAUACUAGAGAUUUAAGGCGAGCUACAGUAACUGAAUAUUUACCCAUGCGACAUUAAAAUAUCGCUGAAGUUGGACUUGAAAGUAAGUCACAACAAAAAUUAAUAACUGAAUAGCUUAUUAAUAGUGC
rnacentral:rRNA from 1 species